rnacentral:rRNA from 1 species
UGGGGAAUAUUGCACAAUGGGCGCAAGCCUGAUGCAGCCAUGCCGCGUGUGUGAAGAAGGCCUUCGGGUUGUAAAGCACUUUCAGCGAGGAGGAAGGGUAGUGUGUUAAUAGCACAUUGCAUUGACGUUACUCGCAGAAGAAGCACCGGCUAACUCCGUGCCAGCAGCCGCGGUAAUACGGAGGGUGCAAGCGUUAAUCGGAAUUACUGGGCGUAAAGCGCACGCAGGCGGUUUGUUAAGUCAGAUGUGAAAACCCCGCGCUUAACGUGGGAACUGCAUUUGAAACUGGCAAGCUAGAGUCUUGUAGAGGGGGGUAGAAUUCCAGGUGUAGCGGUGAAAUGCGUAGAGAUCUGGAGGAAUACCGGUGGCGAAGGCGGCCCCCUGGACAAAGACUGACGCUCAGGUGCGAAAGCGUGGGGAGCAAACA